rnacentral:rRNA from 1 species
UGCAUAUCAAUAAGCGGAGGAAAAGAAACUAACAAGGAUUCCCCUAGUAGCGGCGAGCGAAGCGGGAAGAGCUCAAAUUUAUAAUCUGGCACCUUCGGUGUCCGAGUUGUAAUCUCUAGAAAUGUUUUCCGCGUUGGACCGCACACAAGUCUGUUGGAAUACAGCGGCAUAGUGGUGAGACCCCCGUAUAUGGUGCGGACGCCCAGCGCUUUGUGAUACAUUUUCGAAGAGUCGAGUUGUUUGGGAAUGCAGCUCAAAUUGGGUGGUAAAUUCCAUCUAAAGCUAAAUAUUGGCGAGAGACCGAUAGCGAACAAGUACCGUGAGGGAAAGAUGAAAAGCACUUUGGAAAGAGAGUUAACAGUACGUGAAAUUGUUGGAAGGGAAACGCUUGAAGUCAGACUUGCUUGCUGAGCAAUCGGUUUGCAGGCCAGCAUCAGUUUUCCGGGAUGGAUAAUGGUAGAGAGAAGGUAGCAGUUUCGGCUGUGUUAUAGCUCUCUGCUGGAUACAUCUUGGGGGACUGAGGAACGCAGUGUGCCUUUGGCGGGGGUUUCGACCUCUUCACACUUAGGAUGCUGGUGGAAUGGCUUUAAACGACCCGUCUUGAAACACGGACCAA